UGCUAGCAGCCGCGGUAAUACGGAGCCGGCAACCCUUCUUCGGAAUUACUGGGCGUAAAGGGCGCGUAGGCGGUUUUGUAAGUCGGAUGUGAAAUCCCAGAGCUCAACUCUGGAACUGCAUUCGAAACUAUGAGGCUAGAGUCCGGCAGAGGGUGGUGGAAUUCCCCGUGUAGAGGUGAAAUUCGUAGAUAUUCGGAGGAACACCAGUGGCGAAGGCGGCUCACUGGAUCGAUACUGACGCUGAGGUGCGAAAGCGUAGGGAGCAAACAGGAUUAGAUA
rnacentral:rRNA from 1 species